UCUACCUACGGGGCGCAGCAGUGGGGAAUAUUGGGCAAUGGGCGCAAGCCUGACCCAGCAACGCCGCGUGAAGGAAGAAGGCCCUCGGGUUGUAAACUUCUUUUAUCAAGGACGAAACAAAUGACGGUACUUGAUGAAUAAGCCACGGCUAACUACGUGCCAGCAGCCGCGGUAAUACGUAGGUGGCAAGCGUUAUCCGGAUUUACUGGGUGUAAAGGGCGUGUAGGCGGGACUGCAAGUGAGGUGUGAAUACCAUGGGCUCAAACCAUGGCCUGCAUUUGAAACUGUAGAUCUUGAGUGUUGGG
rnacentral:rRNA from 1 species